CUGAGUACGGCGGAACACGUGAAAUUCCGUCGGAAUCCGGGAGGACCAUCUCCCAAGGCUAAAUACUCCCUAGUGACCGAUAGUGAACCAGUACCGUGAGGGAAAGGUGAAAAGCACCCCGGAAGGGGAGUGAAACAGUUCCUGAAACCGUGUGCCUACAAGUAGUUAGAGCCCGUUAAUGGGUGAUAGCGUGCCUUUUGUAGAAUGAACCGGCGAGUUACGAUUUGUUGCAAGGUUAAGCGGAAAAAGCGGAGCCGUAGCGAAAGCGAGUCUGAAUAGGGCGCAUAAGUAACAGGUCGUAGACCCGAAACCAGGUGAUCUACCCAUGUCCAGGAUGAAGGUAAGGUAAUACUUACUGGAGGUCCGAACCCACGCACGUUGAAAAGUGCGGGGAUGAGGUGUGGGUAGCGGAGAAAUUCCAAUCGAACUUGGAGAUAGCUGGUUCUCUCCGAAAUAGCUUUAGGGCUAGCCUCGAGGUAAAGAGUCAUGGAGGUAGAGCACUGUUUGGACUAGGGGCCCUUCUCGGGUUACCGAAUUCAGAUAAACUCCGAAUGCCAUGUACUUAUACUCGGGAGUCAGACUGCGAGUGAUAAGAUCCGUAGUCGAAAGGGAAACAGCCCAGACCACCAGUUAAGGUCCCCAAAUAUAUGUUAAGUGGAAAAGGAUGUGGGGUUGCUUAGACAACCAGGAUGUUGGCUUAGAAGCAGCCACCAUUGAAAGAGUGCGUAAUAGCUCACUGGUCGAGUGACCCCGCGCCGAAAAUGUACCGGGGCUAAACAUAUUACCGAAACUGUGGAUGAACCUCUUUAGAGGUUCGUGGUAGGAGAGCGUUCUAAGGGCGGUGAAGUCAGACCGGAAGGACUGGUGGAGCGCUUAGAAGUGAGAAUGCCGGUAUGAGUAGCGAAAGAAGGGUGAGAAUCCCUUCCACCGAAUAUCUAAGGUUUCCUGAGGAAGGCUCGUCCGCUCAGGGUUAGUCGGGACCUAAGCCGAGGCCGAUAGGCGUAGGCGAUGGACAACAGGUAGAGAUUCCUGUACCAGUGCUAAUUGUUUAACCGAUGGGGUGACACAGAAGGAUAGGGAAUCGCACGAAUGGAAAUGUGCGUCCAAGCAGUGAGUGUGAGAAGUAGGCAAAUCCGCUUCUCGCGAAGCAUGAGCUGUGAUGGGGAAGGAAAUUAAGUACGGAAGUUCCUGAUUUCACGCUGUCAAGAAAAGCCUCUAGGAAGAGUAGUACUGCCCGUACCGCAAACCGACACAGGUAGAUGAGGAGAGAAUCCUAAGGUGAGCGAGAGAACUCUCGUUAAGGAACUCGGCAAAAUGACCCCGUAACUUCGGGAGAAGGGGUGCUCUAUUAGGGUGCAAGCCCGAGAGAGCCGCAGUGAAUAGGCCCAGGCGACUGUUUAGCAAAAACACAGGUCUCUGCAAAACCGUAAGGUGACGUAUAGGGGCUGACGCCUGCCCGGUGCUGGAAGGUUAAGAGGAGUGCUUAGCUUCGGCGAAGGUACGAAUUGAAGCCCCAGUAAACGGCGGCCGUAACUAUAACGGUCCUAAGGUAGCGAAAUUCCUUGUCGGGUAAGUUCCGACCCGCACGAAAGGCGCAACGAUCUGGGCACUGUCUCAACGAGAGACUCGGUGAAAUUAUAGUACCUGUGAAGAUGCAGGUUACCCGCGACAGGACGGAAAGACCCCGUGGAGCUUUACUGCAACCUGAUAUGGAAUGUUUGUACCGCUUGUACAGGAUAGGUAGGAGCCGAAGAGACGUGUGCGCUAGCAUACGAGGAGGCAAUGGUGGGAUACUACCCUGGCUGUAUGACCAUUCUAACCCGCCACGCUUAGCGCGUGGGGAGACAGUGUCAGGUGGGCAGUUUGACUGGGGCGGUCGCCUCCUAAAGAGUAACGGAGGCGCCCAAAGGUUCCCUCAGAAUGGAUGGAAAUCAUUCGCAGAGUGUAAAGGCACAAGGGAGCUUGACUGCGAGACUGACAAGUCGAGCAGGGACGAAAGUCGGGCUUAGUGAUCCGGUGGUUCCGCAUGGAAGGGCCAUCGCUCAACGGAUAAAAGCUACCCCGGGGAUAACAGGCUUAUCUCCCCCAAGAGUCCACAUCGACGGGGAGGUUUGGCACCUCGAUGUCGGCUCGUCGCAUCCUGGGGCUGUAGUCGGUCCCAAGGGUUGGGCUGUUCGCCCAUUAAAGCGGCACGCGAGCUGGGUUCAGAACGUCGUGAGACAGUUCGGUCCCUAUCCGUCGCGGGCGCAGGAAAUUUGAGAGGAGCUGUCCUUAGUACGAGAGGACCGGGAUGGACACACCGCUGGUGUACCAGUUGUUCCGCCAGGAGCAUCGCUGGGUAGCUAUGUGUGGCAGGGAUAAACGCUGAAAGCAUCUAAGCGUGAAGCCCCCCUCAAGAUGAGAUUUCCCAUUUCUUCGGAAAGUAAGAUCCCUGAAAGAUGAUCAGGUAGAUAGGU
rnacentral:rRNA from 1 species